AUCGAUAUAUAUUGACAUGCCUCCUUUCGUAAGAGCAGCAAAGAGGAUGGAAGAAAAUAUAUAUUUUUUCAUCCUUUAUGGUUUUGAUUACUCGUCUCCUAUCUUAUAAAUCAACUGGAGAGAAAGUGUGUUAUUAAGAUCAGAAAUUGGGGAUAGAAAUAAGAAAUUGAAAUGAGUUUUAAACUUCUAAAGGGACAGUUUCUUGGCUUUGAUGUUCUACUGAUCUGUCCUGAAUGAACACAUGGUUGCUGGAGAGGUGAUGUGUUGCCAGAGUGCGGGAAAUCCCGGGACCAUUGUUCUUGGUUAUGGCAUCAUUGCUGGUAACAGAGGCGGCAACAGGUGCAAUACAUUUAAGAGAUUUUGUUAACAGUGGACACUGCCAAAUAAAUCUUGCAUUUGUGAAAUCUGACUGUUAGGAUAACUCGUGGUCGGCAGGUUAUUAAAGCUGAGUACAGUUUCUCUGUUAUCUCCUUAAUGGGGGUGACUAGCAAGGACUUGGAACAUGUGAUACCUGUUUGAUUUGGUAGUCAGCCCCUUCCCAUUGUGCACAAAUCAGGAGUCUUCCGUGUCUAACCAGUGGCGCACUGUAUGUCUAUGCAGUCCUAGUAUGAUGGGCCAUGCACUUCCUUGAGCAGAGUUGAAUUUGCUGUUUUGCUAAAUUGUUUUGAUUUUAUUCCGUUGUGUUCUUUAAUAGGUAAGCCAGGAUAUGGGAAUUGAGACUCCUAUACCUGUCAGUGCAAAGCUAGGAGAUUUCAGUAAUUUAUUUAAAAGGAUAGUAAAUGCAGCUGAGCACCCCCAUUUGAGCAUUCCAGAAACUGCCGCUGGCAAAAGCCGUAAGCAGUAUCACAGGCUUGUUAAUCGUUCCCUCGUGUUUGUAUCAGUUGGGGCUGCUGUAGCCAUUGUUGGGCUGGCUGCUUAUCGUAUUUAUGCUGCAAGAAAGAAUUGUUCCAGUUAGACGGAAGAAGCGACAUUACCUUUGUACCGGGGAGGGGAUUGGAAUAAGUUCUAGUGCUCUGCUUGUCCUAGGGGUCUGCUUGUUGCAUUUUGUUGAACUGGCUGUUUGUAGAGAAGGGCUGUAGCUCAAUAUUAUUGAAUGCUAUUGAACCGCGUGGUGUUGAAGUUGGUUUUGUGGUCUUAUUGGAGGCUUCAACACGUUUAGUUGUGAUCGUAAUGGGGUUAUGUGGAACACUGGCUGAGGUGGCGGUGGAGAGUGGGGUGGUGAAUGGAAGAAGGCUGAGUGCUGUGGGGAUGUUCUAAAGAAUAAAAUCUGAGUAUUAAUAAUUUUGUUUUCAGAUUAAUUUCAGAAAUGGCCAUUGAACUUUGCACUCUGUCAUCUUAGCCAACAAAAUUUUAUUUGUAUUACGUUUAUCAUUGACUUUUGCAAAGUGUUUUAAGUUGACCUAUCGUUCAAUUCAU